GCUGAAAUGGCGGAAUGGCAGACGCAGCGGACUUAAAAUCCGCUGUCCGCGAGGGCGUGCGGGUUCGAGUCCCGCUUUCAGCA
rnacentral:tRNA from 1 species